rnacentral:rRNA from 1 species
GAGAGGACCGGAGUGGACGCAUCACUGGUGUUCGGGUUGUCAUGCCAAUGGCAUUGCCCGGUAGCUAAAUGCGGAAGAGAUAGUGCUGAAAGCAUCUAAGCACGAAACUUGCCCCGAGAUGAGUUCUCCCUGACCCUUUAAGGGUCCUGAAGGAACGUUGAAGACGACGACGUUGAUAGGCCGGGUGUGUAAGCGCAGCGAUGCGUUGAGCUAACCGGUACUAAUGAACCGUGAGGCUUAACCUUACAACGCCGAAG